CUGCUAAUACCGGAUACGACCAUUGGGCGAGAGUCUGGUGGUGAAAGGAGGCCACUCGAAGAAGCUUCCACACGGGAUGGGCCUGCGUCCUAUCAGCUGGUUGGUGAGGUAACGGCUCACCAAGGCAACGACGGGUAGCUGGUCUGAGAGGAUGAUCAGCCACACUGGCACUGGAACACGGGCCAGACUCCUACGGGAGGCAGCAGUGAGGAAUUUUGCGCAAUGGGGGAAACCCUGACGCAGCAACGCCGCGUGGGUGAUGAAGGCCUUCGGGUCGUAAAGCCCUGUCGGGUGGGAAGAACCGGGUGAGGUCGAACAGGCCUUGUCCUUGACGGUACCACCAGAGGAAGCACCGGCUAACUCCGUGCCAGCAGCCGCGGUAA
rnacentral:rRNA from 1 species